UUCUACAAGUUUUCCGGAGGAGAAACGUGACGGCAUGAAUGACGAUAGUGCCCUAAGUGAUGAAGAAAAGAAAGAGUUAGACAUUACUGUAGACAGUGUUAAAGAUCAUCUAGCGAAUUUGUCUGUGGAAGAUAACUCCUUUGUAUCAGUUGAACUUACUCACUGUUCAAAAACUAUAAAGACCCAAGAGACCAAUACAACAAUUGCCAGCGAGGUAAUUAACCGUGCUACAGUCCAAGCUGAGUAACUGGACAUGUACUGAUGAAGGGAGUUUAGUACAAGUGUUCCUUUUUCUGUGCACUGACUUUUGGUAUUUGACUUUUUGUUACUUUUCUACUUUUGCUCUUUGGAGGGGGUCAUCCACUGUGUGAUCACUGUUGGUUUAAUGCUGAAUUGUGGAGAAACAGAAGCAGAAAUUCUCUUUCAGUUUCUUCUUCAAAAAGUAGAAUUUAUCAUUGCCUACAUAUUCAUUCCAUGAAUUUAUUUUAGAACUUUUUUUUACACUAAUGAUUUUGUAUUUUGUGAUUUCUAAGCAGCUGUUAGAACUAAAAACUGAGCAGCUGUAUUUGUUAUUAACUUUUAAGUUUUCAUGAAUAAUGUUUGCCAUAAUUUUAUUACAUAUUAUUUACAAGCUGGUUUGUUUCAGAGCUAUAUACUAUGAAAAAAAUAUUAAUGAUUGAUCAGAAUUUUUAACUCUUCAUGUUCAAUUCUAGCUGCAUGAUUUAUUUGUUGGUGUCACUUGGAAUAAACACUUUAUACUAUA